AACUCUUAAGAAAUUAGGAGGUGCCUCUUGAGGAGCUCGGUGACAGGUGCUGCAUGGCUGUCGUCAGCUCGUGUCGUGAGAUGUUGGGCUAAGUCCCGCAACGAGCGCAACCCUUGUCUUUAGUUGCCAUCAUUUAGUUGGGCACUCUAAAGAGACUCCCGGUGUCAAACCGGAGGAAGGUGGGGAUGACGUCAAGUCCUCAUGGCCUUUAUGACCAGGGCUACACACGUACUACAAUGGCAUAGACAAAGGGCAGCGACAUCGCGAGGUGAAGCGAAUCCCAUAAACUAUGUCUCAGUCCGGAUUGGAGUCUGCAACUCGACUCCAUGAAGUUGGAAUCGCUAGUAAUCGUAGAUCAGCAUGCUACGGUGAAUACGUUCCCGGGCCUUGUACACACCGCCCGUCACACCACGGGAGUUGGUUGUACCAGAAGCAGUUGAGCGAACUAUUCGUACACGCAGGCUGCCAAGGUAUGAUUGGUAACUGGGGUGAAGUCGUAACAAGGUA
rnacentral:rRNA from 1 species